UGAAAUCAAAUUGCCUCGGUGCGCGUAAAUAAUAAUAUAAUAAUUCGUUACGGUUAUCGUUCACGACCGUUUUGUAAUGCGUCAACCGUCAGUGGCGGCGCGGCCGGGAAUUUUCGACGGGAGGCGACGUACAGCGAAAUAUAAUAAUUUCUAUCGGGAAAUCUCCCGGGCGUUUACAAGUCGAACUCGAAAGAAAACGAAAGAAACGAAACGGAUUUUCCAUCGACACCUUUUACUCAUUGUAACUCUGCCGGAAUUUCGAGUCGUACGUGAGAUUAAAAUUUCCUAUGUGAACACCGUACGUAUAAAGUGUCGCGUUAAAAAUCCGACGGGUAUC